rnacentral:rRNA from 1 species
AACUAUAACGGUCCUAAGGUAGCGAAAUUCCUUGUCGGGUAAGUUCCGACCCGCAUGAAAGGCGUAAUGAUUUGGGCACUGUCUCAACGAGGGGCCCGGUGAAAUUGAAAUACCUGUGAAGAUGCAGGUUACCCGCGACUGGACAGAAAGACCCCAUGGAGCUUCACUGCAGCUUGAGAUUGAAUCCCGGUGACAUAUGCACAGGAUAGGUGGGAGGCGUUGAAGUAAUGCCUUUGGGUGUUACAGAGCCGAUGUUGGGAUACCACCCUUAUGUUGCUGAGAUUCUAACACGGAGACUAACAACCUCGUGGACCAUCUCAGGCAGGCGGUUUGACUGGGGCGGUCGCCUCCUAAAAUGUAACGGAGGCGCCCAAAGGUUCCCUCAGGCCGGACAGAAACCGGCCGAAGAGUGCAAAGGCAGAAGGGAGCUUGACUGCGAGACAGACAAGUCGAGCAGAGACGAAAGUCGGGCUUAGUGAUCCGGUGGUACUGAGUGGAAAGGCCAUCGCUCAACGGAUAAAAGCUACCCUGGGGAUAACAGGCUAAUCUCUCCCAAGAGUUCAUAUCGACGGGGAGGUUUGGCACCUCGAUGUCGGCUCAUCACAUCCUGGAGCUGGAGUAGGUUCCAAGGGUUGGGCUGUUCGCCCAUUAAAGUGGUACGCGAGCUGGGUUCAAAACGUCGUGAGACAGUUUGGUUCAUAUCCAUCGCGGGCGCAAGAAGUUUGAGGGAGGCUGCUCCUAGUACGAGAGGACCGGAGUGGACGGAUCAACGGUGUACCAGUUGUCACGCCAGUGGCACGGCUGGAAAGCCGCAUCCGGAAAGGAUAAACGCUGAAAGCAUCUAAGCGUGAAGCCCGUCCCGAGAUGAGACUUCUCAUCAGCAAUGAGUAAGACCCCUUAAAGACGAUGAGGUUGAUAGGCUGUGAGUGGAAGUGGCGCAAGUCAUGGAGCGACGCAGUACUAAUAGGUCGAGGUCUUAGCUUA